rnacentral:misc_RNA from 1 species
AAUCCCCAUCCACAAGAGAUAAUCGAGUUUCCAUCUGUCAUUGUGAGCAGUGUAACUGGCCAACUCGAAGCCUGUUUCCAGACAUAUGUGCGGCCAACUUGCAAUCAGCUUCUAAGUGAUUUCUGCAAGGAUCUGACUGGUAUCCAGCAAAUCCAGGUGGACAGAGGUGUCACUCUUAGUGAGGCACUCCUUAGGCAUGAUAAAUGGCUUGAGAAGAAGGGGAUAAAAGACACUAACUUUGCUGUGGUUACAUGGUCAAACUGGG